CCUGGGACACAGAGGGGGCUCCGAGACCGGGAUUGAUUCGGGGCAAAUAUUUGAUGGACCAAGAUAAUGUAAUAUUGCCUUAGUACAAAGACAAGUGUGACCAUCUGCUUCUAACAACCAGCAGACAAAUACUUGAAGGAGCAAGACAACGAAGCCAAGUGUGAUCAGUUCCUUCUAACAAACAGCAGGUAAUUGGACAUGGAACAGGAGUUGGAAAUAGUGUUCUUACAGCUACGACACGAGGACUACAUGCUCUAUUCAGGACAAGGGUGGAAACCCAACAAGUGACUAAAACAUUUUAAAAACUGUUCUCUGCUGCUUUAUCCUUCUUAUUGCAUCAUUCUCUUCCCUUCAGUAGUUGAUCUCCUUGCCUCUAUUUUCAUUUUAACCUCAUUUAACCAAUUUAUUAAUUUAUGCUUGUCCAACUUUAAAGCCUGUUCCUUACUAUACAUUUUGGAAUCUUACUUGUCAUAUUCUGAAAGCUAAUUUUAGGCUUUGAAUUUUCAGCAAAUCAAAAAUUGCAAGAGGAGAAUAACUACAUAGGUGAUUUGUCUCAUUCACUUGUCCUCGUCAUUGUAUCACAAAGCUGUGACAUUAUGGAGCUUGCCAACUCCAUGAAAUGGGGCAGUGAUGCUACAAAAAGAAAUAAUGAUUGAUAUACCACCCUAUUCAUUGAUAUGUUUGGCUGUCCCUAUUUUCCAAAGGUUGGAAUGCUGGGUGACAGCAGUGCCUGCUUAGGUCAGGCAGUAGUCCUUUUUCAUUGUUAGGGACACCUAAUGAUAUGGAUAGAAUUCAGCUUGAAUUUUGGAGACAGCACUGAGUGGAGUGGUACCAAGCGUACUUUAUGCAUUAAUGAGUGUGGAUACAUCUGAAGAAGAUUAUGGAGAAUAAUUAAAUUUUCAAUUAUUUUUGUGGACAUUGGAGGAUCAACAGAGCUUAGCUCUCAAUGUCUUGUUUUUGAGAGUGGAUCUGUUUUUGGGAAGGCAAGGACUGAUUAGGGAUAGUCAACAUGGCUUUGUGCGUGUGAAAUCAUGUAUCACAAAC